CCUGGCUGUGUCCCUCUAAAAGAUAAUAUUCCUCCUAAAAAAGCCUGAGAUGUGGCAGCUGAAACACCUUGUGAAAAUGUUUCUAUCCUUCUGAUGAAAGGGGCAUUGUUCAGGAUCUGCAUCUAAAAGAUGUCUAAGAUUAGUUUGAAUUUGAAUUGGAAUUAAAGGUCCUCUAGUCCAACCACCUGCCAUGGGCUGGGACAUCUUCCACCUAGAUCAGACUCUGAUGUGAGUGGCAACAUAACUUCCAGGAGGAUGUUCCAUGAUGUGACUGGGCACUGAAAUGAGGAUGACUGGCUGGUGGCUCCCGUGGUCCUUCUUAYUAUCCUCUUUAAAAAUGGGGUCUGAGUUCUAAAGUUCCUACUUUGCACACUGAGAGUGAUGCAGGCUGCCUUUAACACUUGUGUAUAUGGUUCCAGAGGAUCAUCUUCAGGCAUAAUUAAACGAGAUUAGCAGCAUUCUUCACUGUAAUCCAUGGCAGACUUCUGAAAGGCAGAGUAAAUACACGAACAAAAGGCCUGCAGCAAGGCUUGCUGUCACUGACAGAUAUACACCAUUGGCUGAUUUUGAGGUAGCCACUA